CAGCUCCUACGGGAGGCAGCAGUGAGGAAUAUUGGUCAAUGGGCUUACGCCUGAACCAGCCAAGUCGCGUGAGGGAAGACUGCCCUAUGGGUUGUAAACCUCUUUUGUUAGGGAGCAAUUGGCGCUACGUGUAGCGUUAUCGAGAGUACCUGAAGAAAAAGCAUCGGCUAACUCCGUGCCAGCAGCCGCGGUAAUACGGAGGAUCCGAGCGUUAUCCGGAUUUAUUGGGUUUAAAGGGAGCGUAGAUGGGUUGUUAAGUCAGUUGUGAAAGUUUGCGGCUCAACCGUAAAAUUGCAAUUGAUACU
rnacentral:rRNA from 1 species